rnacentral:rRNA from 1 species
CCUACGUGAGGCAGCAGUGGGGAAUAUUGCGCAAUGGGCGAAAGCCUGACGCAGCGACGCCGCGUGAGGGAUGAAGGUCUUCGGAUCGUAAACCUCUGUCUGCAGGGAAGAACGGUCACUGUGCUAAUCAGCAGUGAAUCGACGGUACCUGCAAAGGAAGCACCGGCUAACUCCGUGCCAGCAGCCGCGGUAAUACGGAGGGUGCGAGCGUUAAUCGGAAUUAUUGGGCGUAAAGCGCUCGUAGGCGGUAUGUCAAGUCAAGGGUGAAAGCCCCGCGCUCAACGGGGGAACUGCAUUUGAAACUGGCAAACUGGAGUGUGUGAGAGGAUAGUGGAAUUCCAGGUGUAGGAGUGAAAUGCGUAGAUAUCUGGAGGAACAUCAGUGGCGAAGGCGACUAUCUGGCACAUAACUGACGCUGAGGAGCGAAAGCGUGGGUAGCAAACAGGAUUAGAUACCCUAGUAGUC